UCUGCCUCGAUUUUUUU
rnacentral:rRNA from 1 species